rnacentral:tRNA from 1 species
AGAAAGAUAAGCUAAAUUAAGCUUUUAGGUUCAUACCCUGAAUAUAGAAAUAAAUCUUCUUUCUA